AGAAACUUAGGAUAAUAUUAAACCAAGGGCCUUCAAAGCCUUAAACAAGAGUUAAACUCUCUUAGUUUCUG
rnacentral:tRNA from 1 species